rnacentral:ncRNA from 1 species
AUAAUAAUACCAUACUCUUUGAGUCUUGUAAUUAGAAUGAUUAUAAUCUAAAUCCCUUAACGAGGAUCCAUUCGAGGGUAAGUAUGGUGCUAGCGGUCGUCGUAAUUCCAGCUCCAA